rnacentral:lncRNA from 1 species
UUACUUUCUAAGUCAUAAUGUUUCCUAACCUGACAUUUUUGCUCCUCCCCCAAACACCAGCUUUGCUACCAGCCCUUCUACUCCUCCAGCCCACAGAAGGAACCCUGCCCUCGCCUGUCCUCCUACAUCUGGCUACGACACUAACAUGGCAAUUUGGUGACAAUGAGGGAAUCACCUUCAACAAUUUUACGGGCAAUAAAGCUCUAAAGAUGGGUUUGAAUUGUCAAAAGGGAACUUCUUCACAGGGUACCUGGCCCGAGCCCAGUGUCUUAGGCAGCUGAAGACUUUCCAUGAGGAGAUUCCUGCAGGUUUCUGUGAAGAGCUCUCCCACAUCCCUUGACACCAGCCAUCACUGUCCAGUCAGAAGACAGGCCUGAGGCGAAAAGACUGCCUUCUUCCUUCUGCCAGAGAAAUCCUGUUUCACUCUGGCCCAGGCUGUAAACUGAAAUAUGUGCUUCCCGUGCCGUGGCUCAAGCUUCCCAGGAAAACUUCAACUACAUCCAAAGUAAUAACUGAGCACAAGCAUCACAGGCUAAGACCAGGCUUACUGUGGGAAUGGCUGGAUGCUGGCAGAGAGAUUGGCUGCCAUGGGAGGUGAGGACAGCCAAGUCAAACAACCGCCGUCUGGUCCCCUGUCCUCCUCCUCCUUGUGAGCAGCAGCCCUCCCACUGCUCACCAUGAGGCCAGGAUUGGGGUGCUCUGAUCAUCGGCCCCACUAGCCAAGAGGUGAGGGACCCCUUCCUCGCCUGGCUUUGCCAGGACUUUGGGAUCCAAUUUGCCCCAGCAUGAUGCUCAAGUGCACCUGACUGCAUGUACUAUAAAUCACUCUCACUUUCCUACUUGAGCCCUGGGAAUUUGCACACAAAAAGCCCCAUUAGCCUCAAUCAAAGGAAAUUUAGAUUGCCGGUGUUAAAUAACCAGAAGAAGACAGUUAAGCUGUGAGUAGAACAUGUUUCCCACUUAAAAGUGAAACGUUUGCUGGUGUCAUAGGAUUUUUUUUGUAACCUGUUUAUAACAGUUGUACUGUUCUGUUUGCUGGGUUUUCACAAGAAUGUUGGAAUUGAACUUCUGUAAUGAGAGGAAAUUGAAUUUCAGGAAAGGUAAAAUGUCAUGCUAUUUUUUUCAGUUUUAAAUAUUUUUACAGAAGGUGUUCAGCAUUAUUCAUAGAAACAUGAUUUCACCCUCACCAAAUUAAUUUAAUUUGGUUUAUGCUGCUAAUAAUAUUAACCAACCGAAUGAUAAUGGCAUAGAGCUACAAAUAGAACCACUUCUCUACAAGUC